UGACAGUUACGGGAAGAGUGCCCAUAC
rnacentral:sRNA from 1 species